CAAUAGCGUAUAUUAAAGUUGUUGCAGUUAAAAAGCUCGUAGUUGGAUUUGUGGCGUACGGUGGGUUCCGGGCACUUGUUGUCUGAGUAACUUGCUGUCGCCAUCCUUGGGUGGAACCUGUGUGGCAUUAGGUUGUCGUGCAGGGGAUGCCCAUCAUUUACUGUGAAAAAAUUAGAGUGUUCAAAGCAGGCUUAUGCCGUUGAAUAUAUUAGCAUGGAAUAAUGAGAUAGGACUUUUUUGCUAUUUUGUUGGUUUGCGCAAAGAGGUAAUGAUUAAUAGGGACAGUUGGGGGUAUUCGUAUUCCAUUGUCAGAGGUGAAAUUCUUGGAUUUUUGGAAGACGAACUACUGCGAAAGCAUUUACCAAGGAUGUUUUCAUUAA
rnacentral:rRNA from 1 species